CUUGCUCCCUGAUGUUAGCGGCGGACGGGUGAGUAACACGUGGGUAACCUGCCUGUAAGACUGGGAUAACUCCGGGAAACCGGGGCUAAUACCGGAUGGUUGUUUGAACCGCAUGGUUCAGACAUAAAAGGUGGCUUCGGCUACCACUUACAGAUGGACCCGCGGCGCAUUAGCUAGUUGGUGAGGUAACGGCUCACCAAGGCAACGAUGCGUAGCCGACCUGAGAGGGUGAUCGGCCACACUGGGACUGAGACACGGCCCAGACUCCUACGGGAGGCAGCAGUAGGGAAUCUUCCGCAAUGGACGAAAGUCUGACGGAGCAACGCCGCGUGAGUGAUGAAGGUUUUCGGAUCGUAAAGCUCUGUUGUUAGGGAAGAACAAGUGCCGUUCAAAUAGGGCGGCACCUUGACGGUACCUAACCAGAAAGCCACGGCUAACUACGUGCCAGCAGCCGCGGUAAUACGUAGGUGGCAAGCGUUGUCCGGAAUUAUUGGGCGUAAAGGGCUCGCAGGCGGUUUCUUAAGUCUGAUGUGAAAGCCCCCGGCUCAACCGGGGAGGGUCAUUGGAAACUGGGGAACUUGAGUGCAGAAGAGGAGAGUGGAAUUCCACGUGUAGCGGUGAAAUGCGUAGAGAUGUGGAGGAACACCAGUGGCGAAGGCGACUCUCU
rnacentral:rRNA from 2 species